GGGCUCCACCCAGUUCGAGCUUCCCAGCUGCUUUGUUUACCUAAUCAAGCCUGGGCAAUGGCGGGCGCCCCUCCCCCAGACUCGCUGACGCCUUGCAGUUUGAUCUCAGACUGCUGUGCUAGCAAUCAGCGAGACUCCGUGGGCGUAGGACCCUCUGAGCCAGGUGCGAGAUAUAAUCUGGUGGUGCACCAUUUUUUAAGCCCGUCGGAAAAGCGCAGUAUUCAGGUGGGAGUGACCCGAUUUUCCAGGUGCCCUCCGUUACCCCUUUCUUUGACUCGGAAAGGGAACUCCCUGACCCCUUGCGCUUCCCAAGUGAGGCAACGCCUCGCCCUGCUUCGGCUCGCGCACGGUGCGCGCACCCACUGACUUGCGCCCACUGUCUGGCACUCCCUAGUGAGAUGAACCCAGUACCUCAGAUGGAAAUGCAGAAAUCACCCGUCUUCUGCGUCGCUCACGCUGGGAGCUGUAGACCGGAGCUGUUCCUAUUCGGCCAUCUUGACUCCUCUCUGCCGGACUUUUCUUUAAGAAAAUCUUCUGCCACUGUUAUAAAAGACAGCAAGAUCAAUCACUCCUCUUCCACAUCCUCUUACUGUGAAGAUAAUAAGGUUGAAGACCUUGAUGAUGAUCUACUUUCACUUGAACAGCAAUGAGAUCAUUUUGGGAGCAUCACAUCUGAAAUAGUCUUCUACAUUUAUUAUCAAACACAAGCAUCAAGAUAUCAACAUUAUUUUUGUUAUCAUGAAUAAUAAUCUCCAGUUACUGGUUUUUGUCAUUUGUGAAACAUUCUGUUUGUUUUAUCCCCAAUAUUCAUGUAUGUUUCAUGAAGGCAGGAAUAUGGCUGUCUUGUUGUCUGUUCUGUAACCCUCCCAGAAAAAC
rnacentral:lncRNA from 10 species